GAGGUAGUGGUUCAGUGGUAGAAUUCUCGCCUUCGAUGCAGGAGACCCAGGUUUAAUUCCUAGCCUCA
rnacentral:tRNA from 1 species